rnacentral:tRNA from 1 species
GCGGGAGUAGCUCAGUUGGUAGAGCAUAACCUUGCCAAGGUUAGGG